rnacentral:lncRNA from 1 species
GCCGUGAUUUAACUUUAAAGUCUAAAUGACUGAUUACUGAACACAUUUAAUAGAUCGGAAAAUAGUAAAGUGAGAAAAAUGGUGAAGUGGAUACAACUGACGGAUUUCAUGUGUCCAGCCUGUCCUUCUGACAUAGGUUCGGAUUGGAUAUGCAAGGAGGACGAAGAACCCGUAUUUCUGAAUGAGAAAGGAACUAUGGAAUGCUGAACGGGUUACCACACAGGCCCAGUUUCGGACUGGAGGUGGAAUUGUGGCAGUGAUUUUCAUAAUGGCGAGUUUUUGACAACAGAUUUUGAGGGUUUUACAUUUGCUAUGUCUCAGGCAGUACAACUCACUAAUCGAGCAGGUGCCGAAUGGGUGGCAACACUUCUCCAUAACAUCGGGAAACAGUAUGGAAAAUGAUGGACACUUUGAAUGGAUGACGAGAACAUUGGGUUACACAAUUAUGAACAUUAUUAUCGUAUAGACACUACGUGCAGUUUGAUUUAUGUAUCAAGCAACUUUUGAUUUGUUUUUAGGAAAACCAUCUUUUCUUAGUUUAUCUUGACGGAAAUAAAGCAUAUUAGCCAUUG